AGAGUUUGAUCAUGGCUCAGGACGAACGCUGGCGGCGUGCUUAACACAUGCAAGUCGAGCGGUAAGUGCCCUUUCGGGGUGUACACGAGCGGCGAACGGGUGAGUAACACGUGGGUAAUCGACCCUCGGCACCGGGAUAGCCCGAGGAAACUCGGAUUAAUACCGGAUAGCCCCUCCGACUCUCGAGUCGGUCGGAAAAGGUAGCUUAGGCCUCUGGCCGGGGACGAGCCCGCGGCGGAUUAGCUUGUUGGUGGGGUAACGGCCUACCAAGGCAACGAUCCGUAGCUGGUCUGAGAGGACGAUCAGCCACACUGGGACUGAGACACGGCCCAGACUCCUACGGGAGGCAGCAGUGGGGAAUCUUGCGCAAUGGGCGAAAGCCUGACGCAGCGACGCCGCGUGAGGGAAGAAGGCCUUCGGGUUGUAAACCUCUUUCAGGAGGGACGAAGCUACUCGGGUGAAUAGCCCAGAGGGUGGCGGUACCUCCAGAAGAAGCCCCGGCUAACUACGUGCCAGCAGCCGCGGUAAUACGUAGGGGGCAAGCGUUGUCCGGAUUUACUGGGCGUAAAGAGCGUGUAGGCGGCCAGACAGGUCUGUUGUGAAAACUGGAGGCUUAACCUCCAGACGUCGACAGAAACCGUUUGGCUAGAGUCCGGAAGAGGAGAGUGGAAUUCCUGGUGUAGCGGUGAAAUGCGCAGAUAUCAGGAAGAACACCAAUGGCGAAAGCAGCUCUCUGGGACGGUACUGACGCUGAGACGCGAAAGCGUGGGGAGCGAACCGGAUUAGAUACCCGGGUAGUCCACACCCUA
rnacentral:rRNA from 1 species